rnacentral:rRNA from 1 species
CAGCAGCAGCCGCGGUAAUACGAAGGGGGCUAGCGUUGCUCGGAAUGACUGGGCGUAAAGGGCGCGUAGGCGGUUUGUACAGUUGGAUGUGAAAUUCCUGGGCUUAACCUGGGGGCUGCAUUCAAUACGUGCAGGCUUGAGUGUGGAAGAGGGUCGUGGAAUUCCCAGUGUAGAGGUGAAAUUCGUAGAUAUUGGGAAGAACACCGGUGGCGAAGGCGGCGACCUGGUCCAUUACUGACGCUGAGGCGCGAAAGCGUGGGGAGCAAACAGGAUUAGAGACCCGAGUAGUCCCUGUCUCUUAUAC